GAGGGUAUAGCUCAGUGGUAGAGUGUGUGCUUAGCAUGCACAGGGUCCUGGGUUCAAUCCCCACUACCUCCA
rnacentral:tRNA from 1 species